rnacentral:rRNA from 1 species
AAGGAUCAUUAUUGAGGGCAUGUGGGCUAACAACCUGCAAACCCCCAACCCUUUGUUUAUUGUCUCUUUGUGGUUUGCUUGGGCAUGGCUGUAGGCUAAAAAGACCAUCCCCCCCCCUAUAUGGGGGGGUGGGAUGGACUUAGAUGCCUUUUUUAAAAGCAUUUUGUUGCCCAGAAGACUACCUAAAUUAAAAACUCAAUUAAUGUUUGAUGUCUGAAAAAUUAUACAAGUAAGCAAAACUUUCAACAACGGAUCUCUUGGUUCCGGCAUCGAUGAAGAACGCAGCGAAAUGCGAUAAGUAAUGUGGACCGCAGUACUCAGCGACUCAUCGAAUCUUUGAACGCAUAUUGCGCCCCUUGGUAUCCCCAAUGGGCACACCUGUUCGGAGCGUCAUUGGUCAUCUAUACAGCUUGUGGCCAGACGUGGUCUGACUUGGUAUUUGAACUCAUCUGCUUUGUAGGCAGAAGUUUUAAAGUUAGUGGCGGUUCAGAUAAGUGUUCCAACGUAGUAAUAAUAGCCGUUGUAGAAAUGCUUUUCUAAAACUAGUCAAAAGCCUUUAUUGGCGUCCCAGGGUUUCUGCUGGCGGAAAUCUAGUUUGGACGUCCCACAUAUUGACCUCGGAUCAGGUGAGGAUACCCGCUGAAUUUAA